GUGCUAUGUCAUCUUCAUCUGGUUUCUCUCCAACUCAACAAAAAUCCAAACAAGAUCGUUGCCAGUACAAAAUAAUUGUGACAAAAUAAUGUUUAGUGCAUCAAACUACAAGCCAUGAUAGAUUAUUUUUAAGCAAAGACACACUCCAACAUAAACAUUCUGGUCAUUAUUAUAAGCAAAACUUUAAAUUUUAGAUUCAUUCAUUUAAUGAUGUAUAUGGUCUUUAUUAUAGUUGAGGGCGUCCAACGACCCUUUCGGCUCGUGAACUCCCAGUAGCGGUCUCCCUGCCUCCUCUAAGUCUGUCAGGCCUCUCAGACAUAUCUACAGAACAUUUUAAAAAUAAAAAAAAAAUCAAUGAUUUUAUUCAUAGGGACAUUAUGUCAUUUCUAACUAUUCAACAACAACAGUUAAAUUUCUGCAGUAUCAUUUCAAUCUCUAAUCUACCAUAUUGCACUCAAUCUCACUAUAAUCAACAUGAACAAUUCAAUUUUUUUAACUAAUUUCACCAUUAACAAUGCAAAAAACAAACACAUUUUUAUUGAGACAUUUUAUCAAACACCUAGAGUUCAACAUAAUUUCUAACAAUUCCUAACUCUAACCUAUCACAUUUGAAUCAAACCUACUCUAAUCAACAUCUAAGCAACAAUUUAUAACUUAAUUCAUCGUUAACAAUAAUAAUAAAAAAUUAAACAUGCAAAUCAACUCUAAAACCUAAAAUUUCACAAUUUCAUUCUAAAAAAUCUAACAUUGGGAGAACCCAAUGCAAAAGGUUAAAGAACACUUACUUGUGGUGGAAGUAUAAUUUGAUGUUGAUUUGGUUAAGUUUGGUGAAAUUUGCAAAAAUUGGGAGAAAAUUUGAUUUAAAUGAGUUUGAAACAUAAUGGUUUGGGUUCUUGUUUGUUUUGUUUCUAUAACAGAACGCAACAUGAGUUAACUCACGUUCGACUCAGCGUGACUUAACUCACAUUGUAAGUACUGAACGUGAAUUAAGUCACGCAUGGUACUUUGGUCUUUUCAAGAGGGAGUGAGCAAAAACAGUUGCGAGAAGAACAAUUUUCUUGUAAAUAUGGCUCAUUUGGAGUUUGGUCCAUGUACUAAUGGACCAAAAUGUCUGCUGACUCAGAUUUUUGCACAUAAAUCGACCAAAAUUCCCUUAAUGAACCCAAUACAUGAUGAAAUGACCAUUAUGCCCUCAUCUUCUACUUCCUUCCCAAAACCCUUCUCCAUCUUCCUCUUCCAUUCAUUCCCAUAAAGGAGAAGAGGCAUUUGUGCCGGUUUCGGGGCAAAGUGAAAGGGGUCGACCGCAUAUGAAAUUUCCCAAAGAGGAAUCUUAACAUCUAAUCUAAAUAAAAUAGGGACUUCUGCAGAAGACAAACACCGAGAUUUGAUGAAAAUGUCUCACCAUUGCGGCAAUAACGACAAGUCCGUCAAAAAUUGACAUAAUAAUGAUCGACCAAGUGUAAGUGAAAUCUCUUGAUGAGGGGUUUACACAAUCAGCUCUUGAUGGCCGAAAUGACCUUAGUGCUGUCCGAAAAAUGAACCUGAAGUGGCGGCUGCAUAUUUAGAACUAACAAAAUAUGACACCUUUGACUGUGAUUUUUCAAAGGAAAGUAAUAGGCAAUUGAAUCAAGGGAUUGAUGUGAGAACCAUGUCCAGGAAGUUCUCUUAGUCUUCUCCGUAUCUCUCACUUAUACUCAUGGCUUCUUCUCCUUCUAGAUAUGUUGUCGUCGUUCUCUUUCUCUUCGCCACUCGUCUUCUCUAGGAAACCUAAUUCCCAAAUUCAGAAUUGCAAUAGAUGAGAAGAACGACUUAUACUCAAAUCAUUCAAUCUUCUCUAUACAACCAAAAUGAAUUUCAGGAAAAUGUGAACAUGUGUAUGUUGGAAGACAACUUGAAUUUUUGAAAAACAAAUUGGAUGUGAGAAUUGAUUUUCUGGAAAACUCAGAGAUGGAAUAGAAAAGGAAAAAGGGCAUUUUGGUCAUUUUCCAAUUGUCUGGAUUCAACAAGGGCAAAUCAGUCUAUUCAGGUCUGUAAAUCUGAGUCAACAUGUUGAUUACAAGGUUAACAGUAGACAGGUCAACUAAUCAUAACCACCUCAACAAGAUUAUGAGCUCAAGGACUAAAUUUUACGUGAUUACCAUUUGCAGUGGGGUGUGUGUUCACAUGGGAAAGGUUAAUCCUUUUCCGCCAUGGGAAAUUGGAUUCAAUGAUUAGAUUAAGUGAAGAACAUAUUCUUAACAUGUUCUCUAAACACUAGAUUUUUCUUCACACUAUCUUCGAACAAUUUAAAAAUUCUGAAAAUUAAUUUUCAGAAAUUAAAAAAAUAUAAAAAAAUUCAGAUAUUUUUUUUUAAAUUCUGUAAUUCAUUUAUUGAAUGUUAGAAUUUUUUUUUUUGAUUUUUGAUUUAUUUUAAUAAAAAUAAAAUUUUGGAAACUAAGAUAAGUUUUUAUUUUUCUAAAAAGAAUAUAUUUUUUAAUUUCAUAAUAAAAUAAGAUAUUCUGAAAAAUAAAUUAAAAAUCCUAAUAAAAAUAUUUUGAAAUUGAAUUUUUUUAUUUUUUUAAGAAAAUAAAAUUCUGGAAAAUAAGGUUUUUGAAAUAAAAUUCUGGAAUUUUUUUUUCAUUUUUUCAAAAAAAAAAUUCUAACAUUCAAUAAAUGAAUUACAGAAUUUUAAAAAAAAAAUUAUGUGAAUUUUUUUCGAUUUUUUUAAUUUCUGAAAAUUAAUUUUCAAAAUUUUUAAAUUAUUGGAAGAUAGUGUGAAGAAAAAUCUAGUGUUGAGAGAGCAUGUUACUAUUAAGAUAAUUAAAUUGUUUCAAUCUUGUUUGAUUCACGAAUUAGCAAAAGAUGUAGUUUCUGGUUACAAUGGUAAAACAAAUUCAAAACGGAAAAAUUGAAGAAAGAAAUUAUGUGGACAGACUAUAAUAUGUUGGGGGAGGGAUCGGUAGUGGUGGUGAGUUUAUUGGCGUUCUGGUGAUGAUUGUGAGGUUGAAGAUAAGAGAAAAAUAAUUUAGUGUUGAGGGAGCAUGAUAAAAAUGUGUUCUUAAUUAGAUCUGAUGGUCAUGAACAACUUUCCCAUAGUGGGAAACUCUUCCCCAUUCCCACCCUAAAUGCCACCUAAUCUAAUCAUUGAAUCCAACUUUCCCAUACUUUCCCAUGGUGGGAAAGGAUUAACCUUUCCCAUCUGAAAUGCCACCUUGCAGUGGUUGUUUAAAAUAAUUAGUAAAUACAUGGACCAAACUCCAAAUGCGCCAUAUUUUUCACGACUAAAAAUGAAAUAUGCCUUUUUUUUUUAAUGAAAGUUACAAAAACUGUUAUUAGUUUUAAAUAAUAGAGAUGAAUGUUUUUGAUUCAAAUAAAAAUGUGCACACUUGCUAAUUCACUUCUUAUUGUGUUUAGCUGGACGUAAAUUAGCAACUUGUGUGUGUUUGCGCGCCGAUUCGUUGAACUUCUCCUUUAAAAAUUAAUUAAUGCGUAAUAUAAAAUAAAUUUAAUGUGAAAACUUACUCUUUAUGUAAUUUAAUAUAAAAUAAAUUAAUGUUGAACUUCUCUUUUGUUUUCUUUUGAUUUAUGUAUUUCACAUUCUCCUAUACUUAUAUUUAUUUUAUUUAAAUAUGUUUCAAUACUUUAUUUUAUUUGAUUAAUACUUCAAUAUCGUAAUGAAUGCGAUGUAAAUAUUUAAUGGAAUUUUACAUAUAAAUUAAAAUAUAUACACUAAAAAUACUACAUUUGUGUAGCUAUUUAAAAAUUAAAAUAUACAUACUAAAAAUACUACAUUAGUGUAGCUAUUUUAAAAAUACUAAAGGAGUUUUUGAAAUUUAUCAUGCCGACUUUAUCAUAUCAUAUAAGAACAUAAAAAAACUAUUUACACAAAAAAUAUACAACUGAUAAAGUGCAAAUCGUUAAUGAACUUUUACGCAUAAAUACUUCAUUUCACAAGAUUAUCAAUGUAAUUAUUUUUUUCUAGUGAUUGUUCAAAAAAAUAUAUAUUUUUUUCUAGUGUUUUUGAUCAGUCACAAUCCUCUAGAUUCAGCUAUUUGAACGGAAGAACAAAAUUGUUUUUCUAAGGUCUAUAUGAGUAAAUUUGAAAAUAAAAAAAAAUAGUGUUUUUUUUUAUUGGAAAUCCCCAAAGGAACAGUAAAUUUGAAAAAAAAAAUGAUGAUUUUUUUAUCGGAUGUUCCUAAAGGAACAUGAAAGAAAAUGAAAAAAAAAAAACAGUGUGUUUUAAGAAACAUGAGAAAAUAGAAGUAUCAAGUAUGAAAGUGAUGACAAUUGUGGUUUUAACAUCAUAAACUUCCUAAAAACACAAGUAAAAUACUUUCCGUGGUAGUUAAUCGCAGCGUGAGUUAACUCACAAACAGGGGUAUAUCCAUCAUUUAUUUUGGGAAUGAGCGAAAUGAUUUGGGUAAUGAGCAGUAUUCAAUGAUCAUGAUAUGGUUGUUGAUGGGCUUUGCAUUGGCUUGUUUUUUAGUGGGCUUAGGCCCAAAUGUAAAGAAAGCAGAUACAACAGCACCUAGGGGAUACAAAAAACUACUUUCCUCACCCCCCCAACAAAAAACAAUUAUUAUCAAGUGUCAACACCCAAGGGGAUACAUAUUCAUCUUUAAGCACUCAUUGCAACCUUAUAUUAUUCCUCCUUAGCUGCUUUUGAAGGAUUCCUCCUUAUGAUUUACAGUGUUACAUAUUCCCUCCAGUUCUAUUUAUAAGAAAUAUUUGACUUUUUUUAUUCGUUGCAUAAAAGAUGUAUUUGGUCUAUAUUCUAGACAAGAUACAUCAAUUACUCAAUUAAUCUAAAGAGUAAAAAAAAAAAAUAUAAAUAGGACCAGAGGAAGUAUUUGAAUCUUAUGCUUUUUCUUAUUCUCUUUUUAUUUUUGGGUUAUGAAAUGUUUUGCUUAAAAGGAUUUUUGGAAGAUGAGUGUAUUAGGAUGCCCACUUUGAUAGCCAUAAAUCCAGAAGAGAUGGGAUAAUUGUAUACAAGGCCGUUCAUAUGAAAUUUGUCGUCCGGUUCUCAAAAUAAAGAGAGGCUCCUAAAAAAAACUCGAUUUUUUUAAAAGAGAAAAAAUGUUUAUAACGUUUGUUUUGUUUUAUUUUUUACGAAAAUAAUUAUAAUUUUGUUGUUAGAGCUUUGUUAUUUUAUACUAUAAGUUUGGGCAAAAAAAUAACAUGAAUAAAUGAAAAGAACAAAAGAAAUGUUCUAAUGUGUUUGUUAAUAAAAAAGACCAAAAAAAAAAAGAAUUAAAAAGAAAAAACAUUAAUCCUGGGUGAGAGUUGAACUCAGGAACCAUAAAAAACAUUAAUCUUGGGUGAAAGGUGAACCCAGGAACCAUGGAAGUAACAACACAAAUUGCAACCGUCAGAGUAUAUCUCCAAGCAUGGAAAUCUUUAAGCAUUAAUAGUAUAUAGUAUAGAAAAUUGCUUUUUUGACAUAGAAAAUUUCAUAAAGACACAAGUAAAAUACAUUUAUGCCCUCAGCGGUAGUUAACUACCGCUGGUAGAUGCGCCAGCAGUUAACUGCCGUUGGUUUUUUUCCCUCAAAACCAGAAAACCCCUACCUCUCCUAUUCAUUCAUCACCUUACAUCACCAAUACCAUGCCCAAAAAAAUCCCCAUUUCAAAAUUUUUGUGUCAAAACUUGGUUUAAUCUCAAAUCAUUUUGUCAUUCUUUCAUUGAAAGAUGGUUGUCCAUUACCUCCAUCAUCCACGGAGUGGAAGCUACACAGGAGCGAAGAGGCGGCAACAUGGGAGGAUGAAUUCUUGGAUCAACACGAUCGUUUCCGAGCACUCCCGGAGAUUGAGGACAAAGAGAGUCCGGUUCCACCAAAAAAACCAACAAAUGAAGACAAUCCAAUUAUGUUUGAUGACACUCCGGUUAAAGAAAACGAAGAAUUUGAAGAUGUUCUGGAACAUUUAGAUGAUUUGCUUUUGUUAGAUGAAAUAUGACACUUUUUGGUCGAUACGCGCCGACGUAUUUUUUGGGAUAUAUAAUGUAAUGACCAAUUUUUUGGGUGAUAUGUAACUAACCUUUAUAUAUAUAUAUAUAUAUAUAUAUAUAUAUAUAUAUAUAUAUAUAUUUGAGUUUCGCAUUAAUAAUUAAUGUACAUUACGUGUAAUGUGUUGCAUAAUGUGGAAAAUUUGACGGAUUUCAAACAAUUGUGAAACGUUAACGCAUUAUCUGUUUUUUGUAUUGUUUCCGAAUAAUUGAUAAACUAUGAAAUAUUGAUGUUUGUGAUUGCUGGAUGUUGUUGUUUCGGUUUGAUUUUCUCCAGAAUUGCCGUUUGAAAUUAUAGGUAAAACAGGACAAAUUUUUUGGAAAAAACCAGUGCAACUUGCACUGAUGCUGUUAACUGGUGUGAGCAUCAGUUAACUGCCGGCGUAUUAUUGAACGGUUGUUAACUGCCGCUGAGGGCAAUUAUGUAAAUUACUUAUAUCAUUGUGAAGUUUUCUAUGUCAGAAAAGCAAUAUUCUAUAGUAUAUACUUACUCCAACCUACAUUAUAAAAAUAAAAUAUAUUUGAACCUCAAAUUUAGAGAUUCGGUUCUGUAGAGCUACUUGCACCCCAGGGUCUGACCCUGAUUGUAUAUCAUCAGUUAUAUCUAAACUUGGGACUGGUACCAAACUUUGGAUAUAGACAUGACUAAACUUUAUAUUUUUUUCACAAUUUUCUAUCGACAACAUAAUUAAGGUUCAACAUAUCCAUGGGAGACAACUACUUGCUUCUUACUAUAGUACUUAUUUUGAUCUUAUACAUAAGAAAAAAUUGGAUCAACAAAACUUACGUAUUUUGAAGGGAAUUAACAUUCAUGUAUCGGCAUUCCAUGGUUAACCUUGGAUUUGAGGACUAAUUAGGAUGAGCUUUUCUUACCUAUAUGUCCAUGUUCACAAUACCCACGCGAUGUUGAACUCUAGGUACCACACUAUGAGAAUGACAGAGGAAUACACCGCCAAACAAUUCAAGAUGAAGGAUAUGAGACGUGGCAAAGAAAGAGUGUGUAGAGUAUGGUUCAUAUGCACAGAAGGAUUGCAAAGGAACUGAGCUAGGGUAGCAUCGUGAAGCUCUCUCCACCUACGUCCUUACGUCUUGCCUAAACUGUUUUUUAUGGGGCGCGACUCAUCCUAUGUAGUAUGGUUCAAAGGUAUCGUUGUAAUUUGGAUUAAUAUAUAUGUAACACUUCAAAUCAUAAUUCAUUCAAAGUAAUAUACGGAGUUACAUAUGGGCUCUGUAGUUAUAGAGAUAGAUAUACUUUGCCGAACUUAGCUCUGAAGUUGUUGGUAAAGACAAUGUAUAUAUGCAAGGUUUGGGGUUCGAAUCCUGAACACCGUCAAAAAGACAUACUUUGCCAAACUUCGUGUUCAUUGUCUUGCGGUUUACUUUUCUUUUAUUUUUUUGUUGCUAUUUAUUGUUCUAAAAGGG
rnacentral:lncRNA from 1 species